UCACUUUUUCUUGCGUAGCCA
rnacentral:piRNA from 1 species